GACGAACGCUGGCGGCGUGCUUAACACAUGCAAGUCGGACGGUUUGCGUAUUGAAAGCUUGCUGGAUAUGCGCGGAUAGUGGCGGACGGGUGAGUAACGCGUGAAUACCUGGCUAUCGGAGGGGGACAACGGCUGGAAACGGCCGCUAAUACCGCGUAAGCCGAGAGGUGAAAGGCCGCGUGAGCGGCUGCCGAUGGAUGGGUUCGCGUCCUAUCAGCUAGUUGGUGGGGUAAAGGCCUACCAAGGCGAAGACGGGUAGCCGGUCUGAGAGGGUGAUCGGCCACACUGGAACUGAGAUACGGUCCAGACUCCUACGGGAGGCAGCAGUGGGGAAUAUUGGGCAAUGGGGGGGACCCGUGACCCAGCGACGCCGCGUGAGGGAAGAAGGUUUUCGGAUCGUAAACCUCUGUUGUACGGGAAGAAGGAAGUGACGGUACCGUACGAGGAAGCCCGGCAAACUACGUG
rnacentral:rRNA from 1 species